AUUGAACGCUGGCGGCAGGCCUAACACAUGCAAGUCGAACGAGUGGCGGACGGGUGAGUAAUGUCUGGGAAACUGCCUGAUGUAGGGGGAUAACUACUGGAAACGGUAGCUAAUACCGCAUACCAUCAGAUUUGCCCAGAUGGGAUGAGCUAGUUGGUGGGGUAACGGCUCACAAAGACGACGAUCCAUAGCUGGUCUGAGAGGAUGACCAGCCACCGUGGAACUGUGACACGGUCCAGACUCCUACGGGAGGCCGCAGUGGUGAAUAUUGCACAAUGGGCGCAAGCCUGAUGCAGCCAUGCCGCGUGUAUGAAGAAGGCCUUCGGGUUGUAAAGUACUUUCCGCGGGGAGGCGUUACCCGCAGAAGAAGCACCGGCUAACUCCGUGCCAGCAGCCGCGGUAAUUC
rnacentral:rRNA from 1 species